UACGUAGGGGCGAGCGUUGUCCGGAAUGACUGGGCGUAAAGGGCGUGUAGGCGGCUUUUUAAGUGUGAAGCGAAAGUCCUGCUUUCAAGGUGGGAACUGCUUUGCAAACUGGAGAGCUUGAGUGCGGAAGAGGUAAGUGGAAUUCCCAGUGUAGCGGUGAAAUGCGUAGAGAUUGGGAGGAACACCAGUGGCGAAGGCGACUUACUGGGCCGUAACUGACGCUGAGGCGCGAAAGCGUGGGGAGCGAACAGGAUUAGAUACCCUGGUAGUCCCUGA
rnacentral:rRNA from 1 species